GCCCUGGUAGCUCAGUUGGUAGAGCGACUGACUGUUACGAAAGUCACGAAAAAAAAAAUCUUUUUCGGCGGCUCCGGCUUCACGGAAAUCAGUAGGUCGUAGGUUCGAGUCCUGCCCAGGGCG
rnacentral:tRNA from 1 species